rnacentral:lncRNA from 1 species
UCCCAUAAAUUAUGGCGUAUAAUAUUUAAGAGGCUAGGGAGAGAAAAUAUUUGUUUGGCGCAAACACAUCCCAUGCGAUGUCCCAUUGUUUCCCACCAAGAUUAAAUUCUUCUAUAUGAAAAAUAAUGGGUGUAGAAGAGCCUUCAAGUAGAAGGACUCCUCCACUUCUGCACCAACAUAUCUCCAGAAGCCAUCAGAUGGCACGUGGAGUAAAGGGAAUGCGUGAAAUAAAAGAAUGAAUUAAGAGUCCAAUAUGAAAUGGACUCCUCUAUUUCAUCGCCCAAAAACAUAUGGCAUCCAAAAUAAUUUUGGCAUGGAGUUCC